rnacentral:rRNA from 1 species
CCUACGGGUGGCUGCAGUGAGGAAUAUUGGUCAAUGGGCGCGAGCCUGAACCAGCCAAGUCGCGUGAGGGAAGACUGCCCUAUGGAUUGUAAACCUCUUUUGUCGGGGAGCAAAAGACGCCACGCGUGGCGUUUCGAGAGUACUCUAUGAAUAAGCAUCGGCUAACUCCGUGCCAGCAGCCGCGGUAAUACGGAGGAUCCGAGCGUUAUCCGGAUUUAUUGGGUUUAAAGGGUGCGUAGGUUGUUUUUUAAGUCAGCGGUGAAAGUUUGUGGCUCAACCAUAAAAUUGCCGUUGAUACUGGAAGACUUGAGUGUGUUUGAGGUAGGCGGAAUGCGUGGUGUAGCGGUGAAAUGCAUAGAUAUCACGCAGAACUCCGAUUGCGAAGGCAGCUUACUAAGCCAUAACUGACACUGAAGCACGAAAGCGUGGGGAUCAAACAGGAUUAGAUACCCGUGUAGUC